rnacentral:lncRNA from 1 species
AUCACCAAUACAAACACUGACUUUCAACAAUGAUUGCCAAAAUUCUCCCAAAUCCUAUGAACCGAAUUCUACUUCUUUCAGAGGAGCUUGAAGCCAACUCUCCUACUCUAAAAUCCUGAUUUUUGAAUGUCCCUUUUCUUAUCCUCUCCUCCCUUUUAACUCAGUGUGGUCCCAUUUUCUCCCACCCUGGACUCCGAAUUGGAACAUCGGAUAGCGCUUCCUCGGAAUUCC